CUGAGCCACCCAGGCGCCCCUGUAAAUAUCUUUUUUUAAUGGACAGAUUUACUGACAUUUUGUUACAUAGAGUUUCUUUUACGUCUGGAUAUAAUUGAUAUGUCUUCAUACCCAUUAUGUCUAGAUAUCUGUAUCUAUUAUAUCUAGAAAUUGUAUAAAAUUUAGAGACCUGCUACCCCAAAUUUGUGUCUAAACCAGUGAAGGGAAGUAGAACAGUACUUAGCGCGUCUUGACGUAAUGGAUGGGUGAAAGUAUGAAUGCUCUGUAAUGCACACGUAGCGUUCAGAGCCAACAAAAGCAGCUUGUCAGUCGUCUUUGUAAUCUCUUCACCUGGCUUCCUCAUUGUCCAUUUGACGUGCAGAUAGCCUCAGUAGGCCAGUGUGGAAGCAUCAAGAGUUUGGCCUUGUAUCUCUUUAAAAGCAGGAACAGCAAAUGAGAGCUUGAGGAAGCAAUGAAGAACCCUCAGUAGUCUGGGAGGCAGCUUGCCAGAUUUCUUCUAGUCCCCACAUGGUUAUCUGUGAUACUGAAAAGCUUUAUCUGUGCAUUGGGAAGUCCCAAAUCUUUGUGAUAUGACCAUAUAGAGAGAAUGCUUUCCAGUUUCUUUGAUUUGGUAAAUGCUUUUAUGGAAUAAUAAUUUAGUCAUAAUUUUUAGUUACAGUAGCCGAGAUAUUUGGAGUAAAGGGGACAUGGGAAGAGAGUUGUGUAGGGAA